GCAAGCUGAGUGCGGGCGCAUAAAGCGUGAGAAAUAGAAAGCGAUUUGCGUGCUGCCUUUCUUUGCGCUUGUUUUUGUCGGAGGAUGUCCUAAAAUGGACACUGUACCACAGCUGAAAUCAGAAUGUGCUGUUCAACAAAAACUUUAAGAAAGUACGAAGACCCAAAGUCCAAAAAUGUAUAAUUGAAUGUACCACAGACGACCUCCCAACAAUAAAGCCCAACGCACUUCCACACUCACUAACAGUCCUCCUGUGAUGACUUCAUUUCCGGUCCCUCUCUGAUGACCUCAGUUCCAGCUCCCGAAGAUGACAUCACCUCCGCUCUGCUCCAUUAAAGUCACCCUCAUUUCCUCUACAUCUGUUAUCCAUCUGGUUCCUUCUCCAUAAAACCUCCCUCUGUUAAAAACUCAUUGUCUUAUGUGUCCUUUGUAUGCAAUGACCGGUACCUCAAAGCAGUUUUUACAGCUUGAACAGUACACAGUAUACGGGGACAGUUUCCCCAACUCUUAAUAGAUUUUGUCUGUGCUUUGUACUUCACAAUAUUUUAUGGCGGACGGCCGGGGUCCAUGCCCGGCCAGGAUGCCCCUACGACACUGGAUCCGGGGGAGCAGCCAUGGGAUGCAUGCUACAUCCCCCGGAACACUUGGUGGCAGUCCCCCUGGGUUGCAUCAGGGCCACAAUGGUGGAACACUGGAACUCAUCCCUGUUGGGCUCCAUGGCUACUGCCCGGGGGAGCUGCAUGGCUUAACGAGCCCGUUUGGGCGGAAGUGCAGCCACACCUGGAAGUGCAGCUAGAAGUAGGUCAAAGAACACCUGCAGCACUUCCAGGUGGGCUAUAAGAGGAGCCUGCCUGCACUACUCAGGGCGCCACAGUCGGGAGGAGAAGGAUGAUGACAACGACAACGCCCUGGGAGGAGUGGAAGAAAGAAGAGUGUGGUUUGGUGUUUUAUUUGUGAUUUGGGACUGUGUUGUGCCUGUGGGGUUCACGGGGAAGAUGUGCCCCACAGGUGAAGAAAAAUAAAUCUUUUGUUUAUUUUGCCCAUGCCUCUGGUGUCAGUCUGUGUCGUGUCGGCGCCAACCAGGCACCAUUAUUACAAUAUAUAUAUAGACUUGUUCAUUAACAGGUCUGGGUGGUUGGACUGUUGAGAUCUUGUUGACUUACUGCUCCAUUUAACAAUUUGAUGUAUUCUGUUUUUCUUGCUGACAUUAAAGGUUUCCCAUCAUGCGAUGAA